CAAUAGCGUAUAUUAAAGUUGUUGCAGUUAAAAAGCUCGUAGUUGGAUUUCUGGGAGGUGCCAAUGUCCGCCGACGUGCGUGCGCAGCGGCGCCCUCUCAUCCUUCUGUUAACGUCUCUCGGCAUUCAUUUGCCGGUGGCGGGCUCAGGAUAUUUUACCUUGAGAAAAUUAGAAGUGUUUCAGGCAGGCUAGGCCGGAAUACAUUAGCAUGGAAUAAUGGAAUAGGACUUCGGUCUCUUUGUUGGUUUGAGGGUACUGCAGUAAUGAUUAAUAGGGAUAGUUGGGGGCAUUAGGUAUUUAAUUGUCAGAGGUGGAAUUCUCGGAAUUUGUUAAAGACUUAACUUAUAGCGAAAGCAUUUGCCAAGGAUGUUUUCAUUAAUUCAAG
rnacentral:rRNA from 1 species